AGAGUUUGAUCCUGGCUCAGAUUGAACGCUGGCGGCAGGCCUAACACAUGCAAGUCGAGCGGUAGAGAGAAGCUUGCUUCUCUUGAGAGCGGCGGACGGGUGAGUAAUGCCUAGGAAUCUGCCUGGUAGUGGGGGAUAACGUUCGGAAACGGACGCUAAUACCGCAUACGUCCUACGGGAGAAAGCAGGGGACCUUCGGGCCUUGCGCUAUCAGAUGAGCCUAGGUCGGAUUAGCUAGUUGGUGAGGUAAUGGCUCACCAAGGCGACGAUCCGUAACUGGUCUGAGAGGAUGAUCAGUCACACUGGAACUGAGACACGGUCCAGACUCCUACGGGAGGCAGCAGUGGGGAAUAUUGGACAAUGGGCGAAAGCCUGAUCCAGCCAUGCCGCGUGUGUGAAGAAGGUCUUCGGAUUGUAAAGCACUUUAAGUUGGGGAGGAAGGGCAGUUACCUAAUACGUGAUUGUUUUGACGUUACCGACAGAAUAAGCACCGGCUAACUCUGUGCCAGCAGCCGCGGUAAUACAGAGGGUGCAAGCGUUAAUCGGAAUUACUGGGCGUAAAGCGCGCGUAGGUGGUUUUGUUAAGUUGGAUGUGAAAUCCCCCGGGCUCAACCUGGGAACUGCA
rnacentral:rRNA from 1 species